rnacentral:rRNA from 1 species
CUAUCUGCAGUCGAGCGAUGGAUUAAGAGCUUGCUCUUAUGAAGUUAGCGGCGGACGGGUGAGUAACACGUGGGUAACCUGCCCAUAAGACUGGGAUAACUCCGGGAAACCGGGGCUAAUACCGGAUAACAUUUUGAACCGCAUGGUUCGAAAUUGAAAGGCGGCUUCGGCUGUCACUUAUGGAUGGACCCGCGUCGCAUUAGCUAGUUGGUGAGGUAACGGCUCACCAAGGCAACGAUGCGUAGCCGACCUGAGAGGGUGAUCGGCCACACUGGGACUGAGACACGGCCCAGACUCCUACGGGAGGCAGCAGUAGGGAAUCUUCCGCAAUGGACGAAAGUCUGACGGAGCAACGCCGCGUGAGUGAUGAAGGCUUUCGGGUCGUAAAACUCUGUUGUUAGGGAAGAACAAGUGCUAGUUGAAUAAGCUGGCACCUUGACGGUACCUAACCAGAAAGCCACGGCUAACUACGUGCCAGCAGCCGCGGUAAUACGUAGGUGGCAAGCGUUAUCCGGAAUUAUUGGGCGUAAAGCGCGCGCAGGUGGUUUCUUAAGUCUGAUGUGAAAGCCCACGGCUCAACCGUGGAGGGUCAUUGGAAACUGGGAGACUUGAGUGCAGAAGAGGAAAGUGGAAUUCCAUGUGUAGCGGUGAAAUGCGUAGAGAUAUGGAGGAACACCAGUGGCGAAGCGACUUUCUGGUCUGUAACUGACACUGAG